rnacentral:rRNA from 1 species
GACGAACGCUGGCGGCGUGCUUAACACAUGCAAGUCGAACGGAAAGGCCCUGCUUGCAGGGUACUCGAGUGGCGAACGGGUGAGUAACACGUGGGUGAUCUGCCCUGCACUUCGGGAUAAGCUUGGGAAACUGGGUCUAAUACCGGAUAGGAACCAUCUUUAGUGUGGUGGUUGGAAAGUUUUUUCGGUGUAGGAUGAGCUCGCGGCCUAUCAGCUUGUUGGUGGGGUAAUGGCCUACCAAGGCGGCGACGGGUAGCCGGCCUGAGAGGGUGUACGGCCACAUUGGGACUGAGAUACGGCCCAGACUCCUACGGGAGGCAGCAGUGGGGAAUAUUGCACAAUGGGCGCAAGCCUGAUGCAGCGACGCCGCGUGGGGGAUGAAGGCCUUCGGGUUGUAAACUCCUUUCGCUAGGGACGAAGCUUUUUUGUGACGGUACCUAGAUAAGAAACACCGGCUAACUACGU